rnacentral:rRNA from 1 species
CCUACGGGAGGCAGCAGUGAGGAAUAUUGGUCAAUGGACGAGAGUCUGAACCAGCCAAGUAGCGUGAAGGAUGACUGCCCUAUGGGUUGUAAACUUCUUUUAUAUGGGAAUAAAAUGUUCCACGUGUGGGAUUUUGUAUGUACCAUAUGAAUAAGGAUCGGCUAACUCCGUGCCAGCAGCCGCGGUAAUACGGAGGAUCCGAGCGUUAUCCGGAUGUAUUGGGUUUAAAGGGAGCGUAGGUGGAUUGUUAAGUCAGUUGUGAAAGUUUGCGGCUCAACCGUAAAAUUGCAGUUGAAACUGGCAGUCUUGAGUACAGUAGAGGUGAGCGGAAUUCGUGGUGUAGCGGUGAAAUGCUUAGAUAUCACGAAGAACUCCGAUUGCGAAGGCAGCUCACUGGACUGCAACUGACACUGAGGCUCGAAAGUGUGGGUAUCAAACAGGAUUAGAUACCCCAGUAGUC